UUCAUCAGGACGAACGCUGGCGGCGUGCCUAAUACAUGCAAGUCGUACGCUUCUUUUUCCACCGGAGCUUGCUCCACCGGAAAAAGAAGAGUGGCGAACGGGUGAGUAACACGUGGGUAACCUGCCCAUCAGAAGGGGAUAACACUUGGAAACAGGUGCUAAUACCGUAUAACAAUCGAAACCGCAUGGUUUUGAUUUGAAAGGCGCUUUCGGGUGUCGCUGAUGGAUGGACCCGCGGUGCAUUAGCUAGUUGGUGAGGUAACGGCUCACCAAGGCCACGAUGCAUAGCCGACCUGAGAGGGUGAUCGGCCACAUUGGGACUGAGACACGGCCCAAACUCCUACGGGAGGCAGCAGUAGGGAAUCUUCGGCAAUGGACGAAAGUCUGACCGAGCAACGCCGCGUGAGUGAAGAAGGUUUUCGGAUCGUAAAACUCUGUUGUUAGAGAAGAACAAGGAUGAGAGUAACUGUUCAUCCCUUGACGGUAUCUAACCAGAAAGCCACGGCUAACUACGUGCCAGCAGCCGCGGUAAUACGUAGGUGGCAAGCGUUGUCCGGAUUUAUUGGGCGUAAAGCGAGCGCAGGCGGUUUCUUAAGUCUGAUGUGAAAGCCCCCGGCUCAACCGGGGAGGGUCAUUGGAAACUGGGAGACUUGAGUGCAGAAGAGGAGAGUGGAAUUCCAUGUGUAGCGGUGAAAUGCGUAGAUAUAUGGAGGAACACCAGUGGCGAAGGCGGCUCUCUGGUCUGUAACUGACGCUGAGGCUCGAAAGCGUGGGGAGCAAACAGGAUUAGAUACCCUGGUAGUCCACGCCGUAAACGAUGAGUGCUAAGUGUUGGAGGGUUUCCGCCCUUCAGUGCUGCAGCUAACGCAUUAAGCACUCCGCCUGGGGAGUACGACCGCAAGGUUGAAACUCAAAGGAAUUGACGGGGGCCCGCACAAGCGGUGGAGCAUGUGGUUUAAUUCGAAGCAACGCGAAGAACCUUACCAGGUCUUGACAUCCUUUGACCACUCUAGAGAUAGAGCUUCCCCUUCGGGGGCAAAGUGACAGGUGGUGCAUGGUUGUCGUCAGCUCGUGUCGUGAGAUGUUGGGUUAAGUCCCGCAACGAGCGCAACCCUUAUUGUUAGUUGCCAUCAUUCAGUUGGGCACUCUAGCAAGACUGCCGGUGACAAA
rnacentral:rRNA from 1 species